GGCAGGAGAGCAGAAGAGUGAAGGGCAUGUGCCUUCAAAACAUAAGGACUUGGGUUCAAAUCCUGCCCCUGCCA
rnacentral:tRNA from 1 species